AUUGAACGCUGGCGGCAGGCCUAACACAUGCAAGUCGAGCGGCAGCGGGAAAGUAGCCUGCUACUUUUGCCGGCGAGCGGCGGACGGGUGAGUAAUGCCUGGGAAAUUGCCCAGUCGAGGGGGAUAACAGUUGGAAACGACUGCUAAUACCGCAUACGCCCUACGGGGGAAAGCAGGGGACCUUCGGGCCUUGCGCGAUUGGAUAUGCCCAGGUGGGAUUAGCUAGUUGGUGAGGUAAUGGCUCACCAAGGCGACGAUCCCUAGCUGGUCUGAGAGGAUGAUCAGCCACACUGGAACUGAGACACGGUCCAGACUCCUACGGGAGGCAGCAGUGGGGAAUAUUGCACAAUGGGGGAAACCCUGAUGCAGCCAUGCCGCGUGUGUGAAGAAGGCCUUCGGGUUGUAAAGCACUUUCAGCGAGGAGGAAAGGUUGAUGCCUAAUACGUAUCAACUGUGACGUUACCCGCAGAAGAAGCACCGGCUAACUCCGUGCCAGCAGCCGCCGUAAGAC
rnacentral:rRNA from 1 species